rnacentral:rRNA from 1 species
AGCCAGCAGCCGCGGUAAUACGGGGGUGGCGAGCGUUACUCGGAUUUACUGGGUGUAAAGGGCAGGUAGGCGGCCCGGCAAGUUGAAGGUGAAAUCCUGCGACUCAAUCGCAGAACAGCCUUCAAAACUAUCGGGCUUGAAGAUGGAAGAGGAGAGCGGAAUUCCCGGUGUAAGGGUGAAAUCUGUAGAUAUCGGGAGGAACACCAGUGGCGAAAGCGGCUCUCUGGUCCGUCCUUGACGCUAAGCUGCGAAAGCUAGGGGAGCAAACAGGAUUAGAUACCCUGGUAGUCCUAGCCGUAAACGAUGAGCACUAGGUGUCGGUGGUUUACCCUUCGGCGCCGUAAGGUAACCUGUUAAGUGCUCCACCUGAAGACUACGACCGCAAGGUUAAAACUCAAAGGAAUUGACGGGGGCCCGCACA